rnacentral:sRNA from 1 species
CAAUAGAAGUAUUCCAUUCUCCUUCGUCAUUCAUCGGAGAGCUCUCUUUAGGCUUUCCGAAAAGAUAUCACAUGCCAAGUUUGGCCUCACGGUUUAAAAGUUAUAGAGUCAUAGAUUUUUAACAAAACAAAAAGAGAAAAACCGAAAAAAAUUGGGAUGCAACACGAGGACUUUCCUGGAGGUCACCCAUCCUAGUACUACUCUCGCCCAAGCACCCUUAACUGCGUAGUUCUGAUGGGAUCCGAUGCU